CGGAUAAGUUUUUAUUUCUUUUUUUAAUCUUUUUUCCAUUCUUUGGAUGAUGAUGGUGAAAGAGCGUGUCCGGUGGUACGGUGCCUGUCCCACCGAAGCACGGAUGGCUUUCCAUCACGCGAUUCACUACCAGUCUCUGGUUACGUUCCGUUCACAGGCCAAAGUUCAUCGUUUUACUUGCCACGAACUUUCCGAGCCAGCCCAGCCAACGGGACAAGAAGAUUUCCUCGUUUUAGUUAACUCGAGUAAGCCAACCCACGAAUAUCUAUACCGCAGGUGUGUUUGUGCACCAACCAAGGAAGACGGAGAUCCGUGGAAAUCGAUUUACCACCACUCUUGCUCCUCCCAACUCGGGACUUUAUAUGUAGGGCCAACUAAACGCCUCGGGAUCGCACUAUGCGAUCGGAACCCUAGCAAUGAACAACUACUCUCGUCGUUAUCGCCUCCCUUCCAACCCUGCCACGAACUUCACCAACACCGCACCCUCGACCAUUUUGUCAAGACCGCGAUUGCCGCUCAGAACUUACAUGAAACCGAAAAAUUCUUACAAUCUUGCUAGUCUUGAUCCCUCGGCUUUCUGUCGAUCGAAACGAUUCAAAUCCAGGAAAAUCAGUGGCUGCCAGAAGAUCGACGUCGUCAAGAAAAAAACUCCGGACUACACGGAAAAUGCGUACCGGGAAGCUGUUUCCAAACUCAAGUACUUGCUCGCCGAAACUUACGCACCGAGGCUGCUCACCGGGAAACCGUCCCGCGAUCGUGUGAUUUAUCGGCGAAGCAAUCUCCGAAUCAACGAAACACCCGAAGAUUCGGACGAUCGUAGCGUCAGCGAUUGUUCACGCGCCAAAGCUUUUCCCGGCAAUCAAUUCGAGGAUGACAACGCGUGUUCAACGACCGAAAAGAAUCGCCGGCUCGUCGCCACUUCUCAGAACUCCGUUGCAUAUCCUGCUCGUGAUAUCCAGUCUUCACCAUCCGAAUUGACCUCGUUCAUAGCACGACAGGAAGAAUAUAUCGAGCAGCUCGAACAAGAGUCACGAUACUGCAAGGAUGAGUUGAAAAAUUUGUUGGAAAAAAUUCGUGAGGUAGUUGCGGAGAACGAGGCCUUGCACGACAAGAACAAAGCUGGUUUGUUGAAGUCGUUUUUACGAGAAUACGAUUCGUUCGAGGAAAACAAAAAGCCAGAAACGGAAAAUCAAGGAACAUUGGAUAGCGGAUCGAAUUCAGGGAAAAAAGUGCGGAUUCAUCAGAGGCUGGAAGGUCCGAACAUCGUUUUCGAGUCGCGGAUAAGCGAGCUGGAGGCGCAAUUGACGCAGGCGAGAAUAGAAUUGAAAAAAGCUCGGGAAGACAAUGAAACGUAUUCGAAGAGACUCGCUGAGAAUAGUGGCAAUCAAGCGAGUCCAGAAUUUGUUGUGCAAUUGGAAAACGCUUUACGCGAGAAACACGAGUUGAGCGUUAAGCUCGACGAAGCCUUGAGGAGUCUUCAGGCUAUGCGCGAUCGUGAAAAUGAAUCGACACAGCGAGCCAAAAGAGCCACGAAUUUGGCGCAACAGUCGGAUUUCGACAAAUAUCAAGCUGACGCAGAGAUCCGACGCUUGAACGACGAGCUCGAUAGGCAGAGAGAAAAAUUGCGGGAAAUAGCCCAGGAAACCAGCAGACGCGUUGCCGAGGAACGGCAUCAAGUCGAACGGCGUUACAGCCAACAGGUCGAACAAUUAUCCGCCGAUGUUGCCUCUCACUGGGACGCCGCGAGCAAAUCUCAAAUGGAAACGGAAAAGCAGCGUCGCGAGUUGCUCGAUCUCAAGAGAGAUCUCGGCCAAAAGCAAAUGAUGAUCGAUGACUUGAAAAAAGAACUUCAGAAUAAAAUUGCAAAUUUGCAGAGCGAUCUCAAUCAAGCUAUUGCGGAAAAAGACGCCGCGGAUCAAGAAAUUGCAGCCGCUAAACUGACUGCUGAAAGAAGUGAAAGACACUUGCGUCAGGAACAAAGUCGUUGGCAGGCUGAAAUCAAUUCGUACAAGCAACGAUUGGAAAGAGCGGAUGCCGACAUCGUUCACUGCCGGCGGGAGAAUUUACGACUGUCCGAGCAAAUUGCUUCCCUCGAGAAAGAGGUGAAUAUGACUAAAUUGCUGAACCCACCGGAAUCCCAACCACCGGUAGGAACUCCAAGGCCGGAAGGAGAAAAGGAUUUAACGACAAUGAUAAUGGACAUUGAAACAAAACACGAGAAACCUGUCGAAGAAGGCGAAGAUUGUGGCGGGAUCAACUCGACCACUACUCCUUCGAAAAAGAAACGCACCGUCAAAGUCGAUCUCAAAGUUAAAGUAACACCGAAAAAGAAGUCUGUUAGCUCGAAAUCCGUGACGAUACCUCUAUCAGCACAGUAAUAGCUUGAAUAUGAUGUUAUGAGGGUACGAGAAAGAAAGAGAUAAGAGAGGGAUAUAGAAAGAUUCAAAAAGAUAGAAAAACAAUUAUGUGCACGUCCACGUUAACAUAUUAUACACAUAAGGAAGAGAUGGCCAGCUUACAAAGCAACUUAGAGUAUCUCUCAACCAAAAUCCAUGAUACUUUAGAAAAUAAGAAAGAAGCUGAACAUGCUGCCAUCUUCGAUAGGGAAAACACACAGCACAAUAACGAGAAUAAU
rnacentral:misc_RNA from 1 species